rnacentral:rRNA from 1 species
CACGUCGGGGACGAGCGUUGUCCGGAUUCAUUGGGCGUAAAGCGCGCGUAGGCGGCUCGGAAAGUCGGUCGUGAAAUGCCGGGGCUCAACCCCGGGACUGCGUCCGAUACUCCCGAGCUGGAGGCAGGUAGGGGAGAUCGGAAUUCCUGGUGUAGCGGUGAAAUGCGCAGAUAUCAGGAGGAACACCGGUGGCGAAGGCGGAUCUCUGGGCCUUGCCUGACGCUGAGGCGCGAAAGCUAGGGGAGCGAACAGG